ensembl:misc_RNA Metazoa_SRP Metazoan signal recognition particle RNA
GCCAGGCAUGGUGGCGCAUGCCUGUAGUCCCAGCUACUCAGGAGGCUGAGGUGGGAGGAUCACUUCAGCCCAGGAGUUCUGGGCUGUAGUGUGCUAUGCCGACUGGGUGUCUGCACUAAGUUCAGCAUCAAUAUGGUGACCUCCCAGGAGCUCGGGACCACUAAGGAGGGGUGAACCAGCCCAGGUCAGAAACAGAGCAGAUCAAAACUCCCGUGCUGAUCAAUAGUGGGAUUGCACCUAUGAAUAGCCACUGCACUCCAGCCUGGGUAACAUAGCAAGUCCCCAUCUCUA